AAUCAACGCUGGCGGCGUGCCUAACACAUGCAAGUCGAACGCGAAAGGGGCUUCGGUCCUGAGUAGAGUGGCGGACGGGUGAGUAACACGUGGAUGACCUGCCCUCGAGUGGGGGAUAACUCUUCGAAAGGGGAGCUAAGACCGCAUGAGCUCCCGGGGGCGACUCUGGGAGGAAAGCCUGAGGGUGCUGGAGGAGGGGUCCGCGACCGAUUAGCUGGUUGGUGGGGUAAGGGCCCACCAAGGCGACGAUCGGUAGCCGGUCUGAGAGGACGGACGGCCACACUGGAACUGAGAGACGGUCCAGACUCCUACGGGAGGCAGCGGGGGGGAAUUUUGCGCAAUGGGCGCAAGCCUGACGCAGCAACGCCGCGUGGAGGAUGAAGGUUUUCGGAUUGUAAACUCCUGUCCCGGGGGAAGAAGGCAGUGACGGUACCCUGGGAGGAAGCCCCGGCUAACUCCGUG
rnacentral:rRNA from 1 species